GUUGCCAUAAGCUGCAUGUGCCAUAAGCAGCUCGGAUCCCAUGUUGCCGUGGCUGUGGGUAGGUCGGCAGUUGCAGCUCUGAUUCGACCCUGAGCCUGGUCGCAGGUGUGGCCCUAAAAAAGAAAAAAAAAAUUAUUUUAUUGAAGUUUAGUUGAUUUACAGUGUUGUGUUAGUUUCUGGUCUAUAGCAAAGCAAUUCAGUUACACCUAUAUGUUCUCUUUUAUAUUCUUUUCUACUAUGGAUUAUCACAGGGUAUUGCAUAUAGUCCCUAUGCUCUGCAGUAGGACCUUGUUGUUUACGAAUUCUGUAUGUGUUAGUUCGCAUCUGCUAAUCUCAAACUCCCAAUUCAUCCCUUUCCACCCCAUUCUCCCUCAGCAGCCCCAAAUCUGUUCUCAAUAAGACCAAGUCUUGUGCACAGCUUUUUGGUGCCCUCUGUAACCCCCAGCAUCAUCUUUCUUAUAUUUCAGAUCUUUAAUAAAUGUUCGGUUGAGCAGAAAGGCAAAGAGGAGGAAGGCAUAUUCUCAGCGACUGUUUCUCCUCCUUUUCCUUAUAGGUUCUGCUUCUAUCUUUUAAUUGUUCCCUCGCUCCACUCCAGGCUGCCCAGGCCCAGUGCACACAGUCUGUAGCACAGGGGUUCUCUCUAGACAGCUGUAGGAACAAACCUAGAUUCCAAGCCAGCUCUAGAUUGGGUGGUGCACCUAGUGCAUCAUGUGGCUGUUCUGGGCAUCAUGUUCUAUGAAGUGUGAUUAUCAUCCAGCCCAGAGGGUUCUUAUCAUCUGUAGGAGCCCUUGCGAAAUUAAAAAAUGAUGAGAUCAAAAAUGAAGCAGGUUCUGUAGUCAGGAUGGGUCAUAUUCCAGGUCUUGGUCUUGGAGAGUCACAGUGUACAAGAGUGUGCUCAAGGCUUGGAAAAAAAAAUCCUGCAGAAAUGAAAGAGAGAGAGGGAGGGAGGAAGAAGAGGUGAUGCUUAGGACCAUUAAUCUAGUCUGAGAUACACUAGAUUAAAAUGAUCCCUAAGAUCCCUUCCAGUUUUAAACAUUAAGGAAUCUAUUACAUUGAAUGAUAUGGAACAUUAUUCAAUAUCACAUAGAAUUUGUUCAUGAGAAAAUCCUUCAAAUGUGGGCUUUAUGCUUGACUGAUCUCAACAACUCAUGGUAUCCGAUUAAUUUAAUAUAAAUUCACAAUGAGCAGAAUAACAUAUGUGGAAGCUGUCUCCAGUCUCUCACAGUCCUGGCAAACUUGUUUUCUUUGCCCUCAAGUUGUCAAACUAGCACAUAUGAGGCUUUUCUUUCUAACAGGAGACGUUGAUUUACAUGCGGCUGUCUAGUUUUCCCAGCACCACUUGCUGAAGAGACUGUCUUUUUCCCAUUUUAUGUUCUUGCCUCUUUUGUCAAAGAUUAAUUGACCAUAGGUGUCUGGGUUUACCUCUGGAUUCUCGAUUCUGUUCCAUUGGUCUGUAUGUAUGUUUUUGUACCAGUUACCACACUGUCUUGAUUACUGUAGUUUUGCAAUAUUGUCUGAAGUCUGGGAGAGUUAUGAUUCCUGCUUGGCUUUUUCCCUCAGGAUUGCUUUGGCAAUUCUGGGUCAUUUAUGGUUUCAUAUAAAUUUUUGGAUUGUUUGUUCUAGAUCUGUGGAAAAUGUCAUGGGUAAUUUGAUAGGGAUUGCAUUGAAUCUGUAGAUUGCUAUGGGAAGUGUGGCCAUUUUAAUGAUAUGAAUUCUUCUGUUCCAGGAGCAUGGACUAUCUUUCCAUUUCUUUGAAUCCUCUUUAAUUUCCUUGAUUAAUGUUUUAUAGUUCUCAGUAUAUGUCUUUCACCUCCGUGGUCAGGUUUAUUCCUAGAUAUGUAAUUUUUUUUGGUGCAACUUUAAAAGGUAUUGCAUUUUUGUAUUCCUUUUCUAAUAUUUCGUUGUUAGUAUGCAGAAAUGCAACCAAUUUCUGAAUGUUAAUCUUAUAUCCUGCUACUUUGCUGAAUUCAUUGGUCAGUUUGAGUAGUUUUUGUGUGGCAUCCUUGGGGUUCUCUAUGCAUAGUAGCAUGUCAUCUGCAUAGAGUCAGGUGUUAGAAUCUCAUAGUUUUAAGUACAUUUGGAAUAUUGAUGAUUCUGGGCUAAAUGACUGUUGAUGCCUCAAAAUUAUUAUUUAGCCAUCGUGCUAACCCUGAUAGGGUGUUUCCUGGGAACCCAGCCAUCUGGGAAAAACUCCAAUAAGUGACACCCUCAGGGUAAUUACUCUAGUAUCCUGGGGUGUAAGAACCCCAUUGAUAAUUAGUGCAUGACUGUCAUGAUUUUCAGAGGUGAUGGAAUAUAAGUACCAGCUUAACUAAAAUUCCAGAGUGGUUUUUCCAUCCAAAACAGGUGGCUACACACACCUGCCAGAAUAAUAACCAAUCAUGACUAGCAUUUACAGAGUGUUUGUCAUGUGCCAAGGCAUCGUUCUAAGCCUGAUGAGGUAUUAAAUCAUUUACUUAUUCAGUAACUCUAUGAGGAAAGUACUUCUUUUACAGAUAAUGUAAUGGAAACAAGGAGAGGUUAAAAAACUGGCACAAAGUCACACAGCUGUUAAGUGACAGAGCUAGAACUUGAAAUCACAUUUUGUGAAAAUUGUCAUUCACUUUUCAAGUGAAUCUUUGACCAGGGUCCUUUGUCAUCACUAGAGUCAUUUUUUGGAUACAUAACAUUUUUUCAGACUAUAUCAUCUGCCACUUCAUAUACCUUAAACUACAGCAUUUUAAAAAAUAGGAUUCUGUCAGUAGAAAUUUUCCAAGCCACCCAUCCUUAUUUACAUAUAAUUAGGGACAUGUUAUCUCCCCCCCCCCUUUUUUGCUUUUUAGGGCCACACCCGAAGCAUAUGGAAGUUCCCAGGCUAUGGGUCAAAUAGGAGCUACAGGUGCUGGCCUACGCCAUGGCCACACCAGAUCUAAGCCACAUCUGCAACCUACACCACAGCUCACGGCAAUGUCCGUAUCCUUAACCCACUGAGAGGCCAGGGAUCAAACCCACAUCCUAGUGGAUACCAGUCAGGUUCAUUUCCACUGCGCCACAAUAGGAACUCUGGGUCAUGUGUUUUCUUUAUUCUUACUAUAGGUGUGUAGCCAUGCUCUCCAUAAUAUUACUGUACUUAUUUUUAAAUGAAGAAUAGUUUUUCGUUAUUAUAGAAACCCAGAAAAUCCAGAGAGCAACAAUGAGAAAAUAAAUGCCAUGUUCCCACUGUGGUAGGCUAGUUAGUAGCCCCUCGAAGGUAUCUAUGUCUUGAUCCCCAGAACUUGUGAACAUGUUAAGUUACCUGGCAAAGGGGAAGUAAGGCUGCAGGUGGAAUUAAGGUUGCUCAUCAGCUGACCUUGAGAUGAGGGAGUGCCCUGGAUUAUCCUGAUGGGCCCAACUAUCACAAAGAUCCUAAUAAUUGGAAGAGGGAUGCAGAAGAGAAGUUCAAGGUGAGGCAGUGUGUGAAGAAUUCAAUCUGCUGUUGCUGGCUCUAAAGAGAGAGGAAGAACCAUGAGCCAGGAAAUGUGGGCAGUCUCUAGAAGCUGGAAAAAGAAAGGAAAGGGAGCCUCCAGAAAGAAGGGCAGCCCUGCCAGCACCUUGAUUGUUAGUACACUGAGACCGUGUUGGACUUCUAACCUACAGAACUGUAACAGUACAUUUUUAUCAUUUUAAUCCACCAAAUGUUUGGUAAUUUGUGUGGCAGCAGUAAGAAAACCAAUACACCCACCAACCAGAAACUGUGAAGCAUGAGUCUUUUAUUAUAUUUAUUUCUAGAUCUUUUCAUGCACACACACAUAUUUUUUAUGCUCGAACAAGAUCAUAAUUUGUAAAUAGCUUGCUUUCCUUUAAUAAUCUUUUUUUCCCUGUCAAUAAAUUUUCAUGGCAUCUAAUACUGCAAUCAUAUUAAAAUAACCCUAAUUGUUCCCCAGCUAUUCUCCCAAAGCUGGCUUGUCCAAAUCAGGAUUUACGUCUGGGCCAUGCAUUUUUAAUGCUUUGUUAUAUCCCUUAGGUAUUUUAAAUCUAAAACAGUCCUUUUUUCCAUCUACUAAUUUUCCUUCUCGAUGUUUGUCUGAUUGCUUCCUCAUGUGGUCGCUUAGCUUGCUCCUCUGUCCCCUACAUUUCCUGUAAAUCGGAAGUUACAUCAAAGAGCUUCGUCAAGUCACAUGAAUACACUUUGUCCGGAAUACAUUUUGGGUGCUGUUGUGUGUUUCGGAUGGCAUUCCAUCAGGAGGCCCGUGCCAUCUGGGUUCCACCAUCAUGUGCCAAAACUCCGACUGUCCUCUGGUUAGGGGAUAGCAGCCUGAGCUUGCUGCUAGAGAAGGAUGCUGUUCCCCUGUGACCAGAAAGUAUGCCAUGUGGAUUUCCUUUAACCCCAUGCAGAUGUGCGGCUUCCCCUCAGCUAUUGACCUACUGGCCAGCUCCGUUUGACAAUCCUUGCUGGAGUUAAUAUGCCUUAGAGAUCACGAAAUGGUGACGUUUUUCCAAUGCUGUCAUUUUUCUACAUUAACUAGCUGCUUUUCUUAGUGACGCGACGCCUUCCCCAGUCAACCAGAUCUGUUUGGUUGCCCUGACAAACAUUCUCGACUGGGGAAGGCUUUUGGACUGCCUCUUCCUUUCAUUGUCAAUUCUUUCUUUUUUUUGUUUUUUUGUUUUUUUAGGGCCACACCCACUGCAUAUGGAAGUUCCUAGGCUCCGGGUCGAAUUGGAGCUGCAGCUGCUGGCCUGCGCCUUAGCCACAGCAGCUCGGGAUCCCAGCCGCAUCCGCGAUCUACACCACAGCUCGCAGCAACACGGGAUCCUUAACCCACUGAGCGAGGCCCGCAUCCUCAUGGAUACUAGCUGGGGUUCGUUACUGCUGAGCCAGGACAGGAACUCCCUAAUUGUCAAUCCUUAAAGGGAGGAGUUUAAUAAUCACCUCAGUGAUGGCAACUGAUUUUUUUUUUUCUUUUAGAGUAUCAUUAUGAGCUUAAAGAUUUUCACAAAUCAGGGUAUUUCUUUCUGCAGUUCUUCUGUCGUCAUUUUACCAAUGUGAUAUAUGUUUAGAUUUUUCAAUUCUAGGAUUUUUUUUUAGUUGUAAUUUUUCAUAGGUAAUGCAUUUCUAAAUUUCAAUGUCAAAAUUAUAUGGAAAAUAUUCACAGAGAAGUCUUACUUCUGCUCAUACUCCCCUCCCUGCUUCUAUACAUAAUCCUAUUUUAUUAGAUUCUUAUUUAUAUGUUCAGUGUAGUAGGGAUUUUUUUGCAUGUAUGAGUACGUGGAUGUGUAUGUGUUGGGGAUGCAGCCUUAUUUUAAUGCCCCCCUUCAUUCACAUACCCCUUGCUUUAUUUUUUUUUUCAUUUAAUACUAUAUUCUGGAGAUCUCUCUGUCUAUAUCAGUGCAUGCAAACAUUUCUCAUUCCUUCUUUAGAACUUCUUAUAAUUCCAUUGUGUAAUGUACUGCAGUUUAUUCAACCAGCUGCCUAUUAUGGAACUUGUGCAUUCUUUCUAAGCUUUUAUUGUUGCAAUCAAUGCUGCAGUGAUUAAAUGUGUGCCUUUAUUAUCUUGUACAUGAGCAGAUAUAAAUGUAGGUAGGUUCCUAAAAGUUGGUUGCUGGGUCAAUGGGUUAUUUUAUUAGUAAUUCUCUUUAUGUUUCCAGAUUAUAUUCCAAGGACUCAGUACUCAACUACCAUGCUAAAUUGCUUCUUGAUUAUCUUGAUCUCAUCACAUAGAUGAGUGCAUGACCUUUAAAACAAAGUGGAGCCCUAAAAUAAACAAACAAAAAAUAUUGGAGUUCCCAUCAUGGCUUAUCGGUUAACAAAUGCAACUAGCAUCCAUGAGGACUCGGGUUUGAUCCCUGGCCUCGCUCAGUGGGUUACGGAUCCAGUGUUGCUGUGGCUGUGGUGUAGGUCGCAGACACGGCUCGGAUCUGAUAUUGCUGUGGCUCUGGCGUAGGCC
rnacentral:lncRNA from 1 species